rnacentral:rRNA from 1 species
AUCCACCUAGAGGAGCCUGUCCUAUAACCGAUGAUCCCCGUUCAACCUCACCCCUUCUAGCCUCUCAGCUUGUAUACUUCCGUCGUCAGCCCACCUCGUGAGUGCUAUUUAGUGAGCCCUUAGCUUAAUCCGCUCAUACGUCAGGUCAAGGUGCAGCACAUGAAGGGGGAAGAGAUGGGCUACAUUCUCUAACUUAGAGCACACAAAUGACUGCAUGAAACCCAGUCGGAAGGCGGAUUUAGAAGUAAAAGGAAAAUAGAGUGUUCUUUUUAAUUUGGCACUAGGGUGUGUACACACCGCCCGUCACCCUCCUCGAAGCCACCAGUCAGUAACUAACACCAGACAGCUCUCAAGAGGAGGU